AUUUCUGGUUAUCAUUCGAUAGAACACACGCCUUGUCAAUGUCCAUGUCCAGCAGAUUUGAAAAAAGGAAAUAAAUGGCAUCAGUUAAGAGAAAGAAACAUGCUCUAUUGAAGUGUCAUACCAAUACAGCAAUGGCAAGAAACAGAAGCUGUGGACGCAGUGCUUGGGAGAUGAACAGACCCAUGUAAGGAAGACCUCCAUCUGCAAACCAGGGAGAGACCCU